rnacentral:misc_RNA from 1 species
GAUGAAGAACGCAGCGAAAUGCGAUAAGUAGUGUGAAUUGCAGAAUUCCGUGAAUCAUCGAAUCUUUGAACGCACAUUGCACCUCUCGGUAUUCCGGGAGGUAUGCCUGUUCGAGCGUCAUUUGUACCCUCAAGCUCUGCUUGGUGUUGGGUGUUUGUUCCGCCUCUGUGUGUGAACUCGCCUCAAAACAAUUGGCAGCCGGCGUACUUGUUUCGGAGCGCAGCACAUUUUGCGAUCCAGAUCAACGUACAGCGGCAUCCAAGAAGCCUUAUUUAACGCUCUUGACCUCGGAUCAGGUAGGGAUACCCGCUGAACUUAAGCAUAUCAAUAAGCGGAGGA